CCACCCAAUGCGCCGCCAAUGCCGGCCUCGGUGGUGCCGCCUGCCAUGGCAACGCCGCUGAGCAAGCUGAAAGACAACAACAGAAUCGAGGAGUACUUCUUCAUCAAGAGAGCCUCAUAGGGAUGACGAGGCGAAUUUGAGGCUAAGAGGCGUGGCUGGCAACGGAAAUCCGACGAGUAACACGAGUUGUACACAAUUCUCUAACUUGCUGUAUUUACUAUGAAACUUUAUCGUUUUCAGGCUGUCUGAGACCUUUAUGACAAAGCCCUGAGCCGCCACGGAACAGGGCUUUUUUCGUUUUUAAAGGAUACGCCCGUCCUCGCGCGCACGCUCCAGCUUGAUGGCAAUGAACUUCGAUGUCGGCGUAUGGCUACCCACGCCAAU
rfam:Pseudomonas putida KT2440 complete genome.